AGAACCGUGGGGUUCUAUACUUGGCCAAUAGAACCUUUUACCAAAAAAAGGGUUCCAUAUAGAACCCUUGGAAGGCAAAGAACCAUUUUUAUUAAAAUGGUUCUAUAAUUCACGUUUUGUGACUGAAGUGUAAACUAAAGAUUACACAAUAAUUGCAGACCUACACAACUCAUUUACAAACCUACACAACUCAUUCACAAACCUUUUUGUGUCAAUAGGCUGUGGUCAAAUAAAGAGAGAGUCAACAAAUAGGCUAUUAAUAUUUAGUGUAUGAUUUAUUUCCUGUGAGCUUUUUUAUGCAAGUUUGUACAUUAGCAUGAAACUUACAGUGCAGUUUGCGUUUUUGGUGAAUUACCAGGUGUUUUCUUUAUUUUGUACAUUCUAAAUUGUCAAUGUUUAUUUAAUUUAACCUGAAGGGGCAUUAAAAACAAAUAAUCGCAAAAGUGCCCUCUGGUGGCGUAUAUAUGCGUUGCACCAUAAGCGAAGAUGAGCCUCGUGACGUGACAGUUUUUUUUCAAACUGAGGUGAGGAGUUCGGACUCCGGACCGGCAUUUGUUUGUACCCUGAGAUAACCAUGGUUAAUAAAUGAUCAGACACGUCACUGGCUUUAAAAUAUAAACCCCAUUGAUGCAAAAAGAUGCUGCAUGGAAUGACAAUGAGGUUUGGAACAGACUUGGUGAAGAACAUGGAAACAUUUCUAAAUAAAAUGGCCCCAAACAUCAUCAGGAGUGCAAAAGAAGGAAGUAAAAAAACAUCUCUACGCCAAUCUCAUUGGAGAGGAAACCACAGAAGGUCUGGUGAGGAAUGCUGCACUUAUGUUAUUGCCAGCAUUAUUUCAAGAAAAUCCCAGCUUCCUUGACUGUGUAAAUAGUGAACCCAAAGGUCCCACACCAACCAUAGUGUUCAACGGCUCUCCUGAUCUUCUCAAAUCUGAAAGUAUCAACUUUAUAAUGGACAAUGUGAACUUAAUAUGUGGAAGACAUUGACAUCACAGGCUGUGGAAUGACUGUGUCACAGGUCGGAGAAGCGGACCGCCCCUGUCGCGGAUCACGCUCCUCCUAGUUCCACCUCGAGGAGGUCCCAAAGCACCCCAAUGACCAGACAAACCAGAGAUAAGUAAAAUAUAAAAAUAGAAACUUUAUUUAAAUUAUUUAAAACUAAAGUGGGGAAUGGGAAUCUAAAAAUCUCGCUUCUCGCCCUCAGGGGGAGUAUUACGGGGCCAGGGACGUUGGAGGGGUUUCCACGUGACUCCAGCUGGAACACCGCUAGAGAGCGUAUCUGGGUGGGUUGGGCACACACCGUCGCGGCGGCCCCUGAUGGCAUCCACAAAGGUCCAAGACCCUCCUAAGCUCCCAGCCGUAGCAGAACUACGUAUUUCAGCACCCGAACGACUAACAACCCAGCCGGCAUCUGCAGCGUAUAUCCAACGAGAUCAAACUUCACUCUGACAAGUAACUUGCUAUACACAACCACGCCGUCCUUUCGCCCGGACCAGCCCCGCACUCUUUCCGCCCGCUACCUAGCGGUCGCCGGAUCAGCAGAGCCUGCGGACUCUUCGGACUCUGCGACCCUUACAGUAACUUCUACCUUCUCUCUUUAUAUCGUCCUCCAUGGCGUGGCUCGCCCAACCAUCGCUCGCCAUGUCACUCACACAGCUGUGCCUUGUUUCAGUGAGUGCGGGGAUUCCCGGGGAACCCGGAAGUGCCGGUGUCUGUACAAACCGGUCCGGGCGGAACCUCUUCACUCUCCUUUUGGUUCCGCCCCGCAUAGUCACUCCGUGACAACUGUUUGCGUUUUUUUUUCCUCCUCAAUGUUCAAUACCCUUUUGCCAUUAAGCACACAGUGACAUUAAUUUAUAAAAUAUAUGCUUAAGUUUUAAUACCUGUACAAAACAAAUGUAAAAUCAACUUGUGUAAAUUGUCAUUUUAUUUAAUAGAUUGUUCAUGAAUUGUCUUUAAAUGCAUUGUGAUUUCGGUAACACUUUACAAUAAGGUUCAUUAGUUAACAUUAGUUAAUGUAUUAACUAACUUGAACAAACCACGAGCAAUACAUUUGUUACAGUAUUUAUUCAUCUUUGUUAAUGUUAGUUAAUAAAAAUUUAAGCUUUAAUUGCUUGUUCAUGUUAGUUCAGAGUGCAUUAACUAAUGUUAACAAGAUUUUAAUAAAGUAUAAGUAAUUGUUGAAAUUAACAUUAACAAAGAUUAAUAAAGGCUGUAUAAGUGCAGUUCAUUAUUAGUUCAUGUUAACUAAUGUAGCUAACUAAUGUUAACUAAUGAACCUUAUUGUAAAGUGUUACCGUGAUUUCUUUUCAUCAUUUCAGACACAUGUAAAAGUUACUAAAACUUAGUACUGCCUAUACUGUACAGUAUCUAUGCGUAAGGGAAAUAACUUGAACAAAAUUUUUUAUGUAUAGUGUAAUUAAUAGUUUAGCUGUUUAAUACAGAGAUGCAAUAUAUAUAUAUGUAUAUGUAUGUUUAUUAAAAAGUGAAAAUGCUUAAUGGAAAUAAUUAAAUAACUAAAUGGUUGAAUGUAAUGAGACAUUUUAAAUGUAAACCAAAGUUUUGCUGUCUAAUACAGAAUAAAGAGAUGUGAUUUUAAGUAAUUUUUAUAGAUUUAUAUUUCUGUAUAAUACAAUUAAUAAAUAGUAAACUUUUAUAA